rfam:Loxodonta africana cont3.25847, whole genome shotgun sequence.
GAGAGACAACGGGUUUAUAUCCAGCACACUCACACCAGGCCAGGAGCAGAUGCCCUUGCUCAGUCUCCUCAGGUAUUAGGUUUUUUUUUUUUUCCCCUCUCCUUCUUGCAGCUGGUCAGAUCAGAAGGUCCAGAUUAAUGGGGA